ACUGGUGAUUGAGUGUGUUCUGGCCUUGAGAUUCUCCCCCAUCAAGUUGGCUUCCAUAUAGGCUUGAAGCUGAAAGGACGAGCUGCAGUCAUUUUUAUAUGACUGUGGGGAGAAGUCGCUUCAGAACAGGCUAACACCAAGGAAUUCGAGCCAGGGACAGACAGGAAGAAGAAGGGUCAUGAUGGCUUCAACUGAGUUCCUGGAUCCAUUCCUGCCUGAUUAUUCCUGGACUUUGUCAUUUUGUUCUGUUGGAGAGUCCCCACUGGCCACUAGAUGAAACUGUGUGUUUCCAAGUGUUUUGGAUCAGAUAUGCUCGCACUGACUGACUA
ensembl:lncRNA